CUAUUACCAUCACCAACAUCACCACUACUAUUGUCAACACCAUCACCAUUACCAUCAUUGUCACCCACCAUCAUUAUUACCAUAACCACCACCAUUGUCAACACCAUCACCAUUACAAUCAUCACCAGCAUUGUCACCCACCAGCACCACCAUCACUAUUACCAUCACCACCAUGACCAUCAUCACCACCACUAUUGUCAACACCAUCACCAUUGCCAUCACCACCAGCAUUAUCACCCACCAGCACC